rnacentral:rRNA from 1 species
CAGGCUUAACACAUGCAAGUCGAGGGGCAUCAGGAAGAAAGCUUGCUUUCUUUGCUGGCGACCGGCGCACGGGUGAGUAACACGUAUCCAACCUGCCCUUUACUCGGGGAUAGCCUUUCGAAAGAAAGAUUAAUACCCGAUGGCAUAAUGAUUCCGCAUGGUUUCAUUAUUAAAGGAUUCCGGUAAAGGAUGGGGAUGCGUUCCAUUAGGUUGUUGGUGAGGUAACGGCUCACCAAGCCUUCGAUGGAUAGGGGUUCUGAGAGGAAGGUCCCCCACAUUGGAACUGAGACACGGUCCAAACUCCUACGGGAGGCAGCAGUGAGGAAUAUUGGUCAAUGGGCGCUAGCCUGAACCAGCCAAGUAGCGUGAAGGAUGAAGGCUCUAUGGGUCGUAAACUUCUUUUAUAUAAGAAUAAAGUGCAGUAUGUAUACUGUUUUGUAUGUAUUAUAUGAAUAAGGAUCGGCUAACUCCGUGCCAGCAGCCGCGGUAAUACGGAGGAUCCGAGCGUUAUCCGGAUUUAUUGGGUUUAAAGGGAGCGUAGGUGGACUGGUAAGUCAGUUGUGAAAGUUUGCGGCUCAACCGUAAAAUUGCAGUUGAUACUGUCAGUCUUGAGUACAGUAGAGGUGGGCGGAAUUCGUGGUGUAGCGGUGAAAUGCUUAGAUAUCACGAAGAACUCCGAUUGCGAAGGCAGCUCACUGGACUGCAACUGACACUGAUGCUCGAAAGUGUGGGUAUCAAACAGGAUUAGAUACCCCUGGUAGUCCACACAGUAAACGAUGAAUACUCGCUGUUUGCGAUAUACAGUAAGCGGCCAAGCGAAAGCAUUAAGUAUUCCACCUGGGGAGUACGCCGGCAACGGUGAAACUCAAAGGAAUUGACGGGGGCCCGCACAAGCGGAGGAACAUGUGGUUUAAUUCGAUGAUACGCGAGGAACCUUACCCGGGCUUAAAUUGCAGUGGAAUGAUGUGGAAACAUGUCAGUGAGCAAUCACCGCUGUGAAGGUGCUGCAUGGUUGUCGUCAGCUCGUGCCGUGAGGUGUCGGCUUAAGUGCCAUAACGAGCGCAACCCUUAUCUUUAGUUACUAACAGGUUAUGCUGAGGACUCUAGAGAGACUGCCGUCGUAAGAUGUGAGGAAGGUGGGGAUGACGUCAAAUCAGCACGGCCCUUACGUCCGGGGCUACACACGUGUUACAAUGGGGGGUACAGAAGGCAGCUAGCGGGUGACCGUAUGCUAAUCCCAAAAGCCUCUCUCAGUUCGGAUCGAAGUCUGCAACCCGACUUCGUGAAGCUGGAUUCGCUAGUAAUCGCGCAUCAGCCACGGCGCGGUGAAUACGUUCCCGGGCCUUGUACACACCGCCCGUCAAGCCAUGGGAGCCGGGGGUACCUGAAGUACGUAACCGCAAGGAUCGUCCUAGGGUAAAACUGGUGACUGGGGCUA